rnacentral:rRNA from 1 species
AGUGAACGCUGGCGGUAGGCCUAACACAUGCAAGUCGAACGGCAGCACAGAGGAGCUUGCUCCUUGGGUGGCGAGCGGCGGACGGGUGAGGAAUACAUCGGAAUCUACUCUGUCGUGGGGGAUAACGUAGGGAAACUUACGCUAAUACCGCAUACGACCUACGGGUGAAAGCAGGGGAUCUUCGGACCUUGCGCGAUUGAAUGAGCCGAUGUCGGAUUAGCUAGUUGGCGGGGUAAAGGCCCACCAAGGCGACGAUCCGUAGCUGGUCUGAGAGGAUGAUCAGCCACACUGGAACUGAGACACGGUCCAGACUCCUACGGGAGGCAGCAGUGGGGAUAUUGGACAAUGGGCGCAAGCCUGAUCCAGCCAUACCGCGUGGGUGAAGAAGGCCUUCGGGUUGUAAAGCCCUUUUGUUGGGAAAGAAAUCCAUCUGGUUAAUACCCGGGUGGGAUGACGGUACCCAAAGAAUAAGCACCGGCUAACUUCGUGCCAGCCGCCGCAGUAA